rnacentral:lncRNA from 1 species
AAAAUGGCUAUCCCACCGAUGUGGGACUUUGCCAAAUUCCACAGGGGGAGGCAUUUGGUUGUUGAACAAGGCCAGCCAUGGGUGGUUUGCCGCGUUGUCCAGCCCUAUCCUCAGCCCCUCCGUCACUAUUUGAGCAAGGUAGCUCGAAUUUUCCAGCUGAAUCGUGAUGUCUCGCCCUUCCAACUUGAGAUUCAAGUUGAGGGAGAAGCCUGUCAGUCCAUAUUCCAGCCAUGACUGUGGAGCAUGAUUCAUUGGUAAUGGUGUUGUUGUGUAUAUUAUUGGCUCCGAGGGUUCAUGGGUGGGUAUGGAGCAUGGUGUGCAUAGUGAGGUGUUCUUGUUUGAUUUCUCAUCCAAACAUUCCUCCUGUUCCUGUUGUAUCUGCGUUGAAAAUUUGUGUGGCGGGAUCUGACCAUGGUUAUGCUCUUUGGUUUUUGGCAGAAUGGGAGAUGAGUGUUUGGAUGAUGAGGGCUUGUUUGAGUUAGUAGAUAAAUAGUUCAACUUGUUAUACAUAGGGGUGAUGUACACGUCUGUUGGGAUGGGAUGACCAGCUUUUUGGUCCGAAAGGAGUUUUUCAAUUGUUUUUGUUGGAGUGAUUUGUGACAGGAGAUCAUUUGAGGUAAUGUCUUCUUUUUUGGAGGUGGGAAGCCUAGUCUUAGGAUGAUUGUAAUCGCUAAUUAAUGUUGAUGGGGCUUUGCCUAAGCUUUGUUUUUGGUCUAUAUCUAUUGAGUUGUCCUUUGUAGUUAGGUUUUGUACGGAGUCUCCAGAUUUUUGCAUUGUCUCCUGGUUCAUAGGAAGUUGCCCGCUAGGUUUAUACGUAGGUUUGACCUUCUUUUUUGUUGCAGGUUCUGUGGGCUCUAAGGUAUUGAAGUGGGGCAUUAACUGUGAUGUGGAGAUGUUUGAUAAAGGUAGGGGUGUUUGGUUUUCCAAUGUGCUUUUGGGCAAGG